GCAGCAAAUAUUUAAAUGGUUUGGUGCUUUGCCGUAAGCAUACUUUAAAAGAUGUUUGUAGUGAAUUGGCGCAUCACCUUGAAGAGUGUCUUCCAGAAGGAAACCCUUCAAUAAGAAAAAGGUUCUAUAAUCGUGUAACUGUCCUUUUGAAACAGUCGUACCCAAUCUGUACUUUUGGAGAAGAGGGUGCAGGUGGAGUUGUAAAGCGCGUUUCUAAAUGUAAUUCGGAAGCGACGUGAGCGUCGUUUAAAAAGUUUGCUUGAGGUAAAAAAUGAAAACAGAAUGCUAAACAUCUCUGGAAUAAACGACAGCUCAUUUGAUGAAGAUAUACAGUUUGCUUUGGUACAAAGAGUUCCUGAUAUGGAUCAUAUUCGUUGUUUGGUUAGGAAUAUGAAGUGUUCUCUGCCAUAUUCAGAACACAAAGAGCACCUGUUCCAUCCAGAAAUU
rnacentral:misc_RNA from 1 species